AAUUAAUAUUAUUGCUAAUAAAUAAUGAUUAAAUGUGUUGCAUUAAAAUCAUAUUUUUUGUGGUGCAAAAGUUAUUGUAAAUCAAGAGUUUAAAUGCACAUUUUGUAUAGUUUGGGAUAAGGCAUGGCUCCAAGCCUAAUGAUGUUAGGAGCAUAAUUGAAUCUGGUCAAGCACAUUUGCACCGGAGCUACACAUGUCUACAUGCCAUAGCCUCUUCCCAGGACACAUGCCAAAGAUCCUGCUGCAGCCCUCAUCCGUUACCAUCUUCAGCAUACCGCGAGCUCCCAGAUUCGUGAUUUGAUCUCAGAGGCUUCCAAGCGUCCGCUCCUCCUCGAGUCCAUUCACAACCCGAUCAACGCCCCUUCUUCCGCCCGUUUCACACGCCUCCCAGCUCCCGGAUCAAGCAACAUCACCUCCCAGCGCGGCAUCUCCUCCGGUUUAUCUCACAUCGGCGUCCAACUCUUCAUCUGCCCGUGAUCGUCUCCCAGCCUUCGCGAUUCAUCCGGCAUCCGUCUCAUCCGCGAUCACCUCCCACGCGUCCGCUCGCCUCCUCUGCAUCACAUCCCAGCAAAGAACCAGCUUAUUAAUCCAUGAUUUCAGCCAGCGAUCAUCCUCCUCCAGCGUGCAGCCCAUCCGUUCGCAUUCA
rnacentral:lncRNA from 1 species